ACCAAUCUGUUCCAAGUUCUAACCCAAAGCCAAAGUAUCGUUGACAUGACGUUUCAUUGGACACCGUUUGCACCUAACAUAUAGGUGCUCCACCAGCGUAUACAUUGUAGGUAUACGUCUAUAUGUAAAGUUGACCCAUCACACAUAGGCCUAUAUGUACCUCAAGUACCUACAUUGUACGUACAAAUGAAAGACCUAGGCCUACUAAUGUACGAAAUACCGCAAUUAAACAUGCGUCGAAACGAUGCCAAAGAAGAAAAACCACCGUUAUACGAAGAAGGAAAAAAACAUUACAAUCGCUGCGCUGGUCUUAUGGUGUACAUCGCGACGCAUAUUCGCGCGGCUUCGGCUUCGACUUCGGCGUCGACUUGUGUAUCUCGUAUAACGGUACACUCGACGAGCGAUGAUGUUACGAUCAAAUUAUACUGUACGAUGAGCGACGACGACUACGACGACGUACCGAUGAUGUACAGUUAGGAAAGGUCUUUAUCAACGCAGCUCGAGUUAUAGCGGUAGGACUAUAAUACACAAUAUAGGUACCACAGAGAAGGAUGGGAAGGACGCUGAGGAGAAAAAGAAGUACGAAAUAUACAUGGCAGCGGUACGUUAUACCAAAGCGUACGUUUCGUAUACGUAGAUAGAAAGAAGUACGACGACGACGCUGCUGAAACGGUAUUAUAAGACGCGACGCAAUGCAAUGCGAUCCGACUGACGUGAAAAUUGACUCGGUCGUUGACCCUUUUUUUUCCACCGUUCGUGUAUGGUACACGAACAUGAACAUUGUAUGUACCGUUGCAUCGGCUGACGAAAUUUUGGCUACCACUCGUCGUCGUGAGGCUCAACUCGAAGAGGGAAAAAACUCGCGUUAAAUGGAUCGCAUAAUGCGUAUAUUUAAGGCGCUAUCUGUGAUUACCAACGUUUACAAAUUGCUUCGCAUAUUAUAGCAGAAAGUUGGAAAACGUUUCGAGUUCGAAAUUACUGCUGCGAAUGGUGCUCCUGCUCGUGCCAACGAUUAAAAUAACGAAAGAGUGAAAGUUGCUGAGAAUAUUUCCAUCAAGCGUGUACGUAUUUAUGGAUCUCGUAUAUAAAUAAAUAUACCUAUGUACGUGCGAGUAAGUACU